rnacentral:misc_RNA from 1 species
AAGUCGUAACAAGGUUUCCGUAGGUGAACCUGCGGAAGGAUCAUUAACACGUUUCGUUCCAAAACGUUUUGACCCAUCUCCUAUUUUCCGUGCACCCCUCGCGUCCGGCCUCCCAGCCGCUCACUGGGUUUACUCAGUGUUGCCUGUUGGGCGUCUUCAGGGUCCAAGAUGGGAUUGCUUUUCUCUUGACUGAGAGUUGCUUUCACUUCUCCUGCUGGCGUUGCCACCUCACCCAACCCUUUAACCUAACUGAUCUGAACUUUUAGUUGACGCAAGAGGGGCAACUUUCUUGCAACAACGACUUGAACAAACAACAACUCUUAACAACGGAUAUCUUGGUUCUC